rnacentral:rRNA from 1 species
UCUCCUAAGGCUAAAUACUCUCUAGUGACCGAUAGUGAACCAGUACCGUGAGGGAAAGGUGAAAAGUACCCCGGAAGGGGAGUGAAAGAGAACUUGAAACCGUGUGCUUACAAGUAGUCAGAGCCCGUUAAUGGGUGAUGGCGUGCCUUUUGUAGAAUGAACCGGCGAGUUACGAUCUGAUGCAAGGUUAAGCAGAAAAUGUGGAGCCGUAGCGAAAGCGAGUCUGAAUAGGGCGAAUGAGUAUUUGGUCGUAGACCCGAAACCAGGUGAUCUACCCUUGGUCAGGUUGAAGUUCAGGUAACACUGAAUGGAGGACCGAACCGACUUACGUUGAAAAGUGAGCGGAUGAACUGAGGGUAGCGGAGAAAUUCCAAUCGAACUUGGAGAUAGCUGGUUCUCUCCGAAAUAGCUUUAGGGCUAGCCUCAAGUGAUGAUUAUUGGAGGUAGAGCACUGUUUGGACGAGGGGCCCCUCUCGGGUUACCGAAUUCAGACAAACUCCGAAUGCCAAAUAAUUUAACUUGGGAGUCAGAAUGUGGGUGAUAAGGUCCAUAUUCGAAAGGGAAACAGCCCAGACCACCAGCUAAGGUCCCAAAAUAUAUGUUAAGUGGAAAAGGAUGUGGCGUUGCCCAGACAACUAGGAUGUUGGCUUAGAAGCAGCCAUCAUUUAAAGAGUGCGUAAUAGCUCACUAGUCGAGUGACACUGCGCCGAAAAUGUACCGGGGCUAAACAUAUUACCGAAGCUGUGGAUUGUCCUUUGGACAAUGGUAGGAGAGCGUUCUAAGGGCGUUGAAGCAUGAUCGCAAGGACAUGUGGAGCGCUUAGAAGUGAGAAUGCCGGUGUGAGUAGCGAAAGACGGGUGAGAAUCCCGUCCACCGAUUGACUAAGGUUUCCAGAGGAAGGCUCGUCCGCUCUGGGUUAGUCGGGUCCUAAGCUGAGGCCGACAGGCGUAGGCGAUGGAUAACAGGUUGAUAUUCCUGUACCACCAUUAUUCGUUUUAAGCGAUGGGGGGACGCAGUAGGAUAGGCGAAGCGUGCUGUUGGAGUGCACGUCCAAGCAGUGAGAUUGAGUGUUAGGCAAAUCCGGCACUCUUAAGAUUGAGCUGUGAUGGGGAGAGGAACUUGUUCCUCGAGUCGUUGAUUUCACACUGCCGAGAAAAGCCUCUAGCUAGAAUAACGGUGCCCGUACCGCAAACCGACACAGGUAGUCAAGAUGAGAAUUCUAAGGUGAGCGAGCGAACUCUCGUUAAGGAACUCGGCAAAAUGACCCCGUAACUUCGGGAGAAGGGGUGCUCUUUGAGGUUCACGCUUCGAAGAGCCGCAGUGAAUAGGCCCAAGCGACUGUUUAUCAAAAACACAGGUCUCUGCUAAACCGUAAGGUGACGUAUAGGGGCUGACGCCUGCCCGGUGCUGGAAGGUUAAGAGGAGUGGUUAGCGCAAGCGAAGCUACGAAUCGAAGCCCCAGUAAACGGCGGCCGUAACUAUAACGGUCCUAAGGUAGCGAAAUUCCUUGUCGGGUAAGUUCCGACCCGCACGAAAGGCGUAACGAUUUGGGCACUGUCUCAACGAGAGACUCGGUGAAAUCAUAGUACCGGUGAAGAUGCCGGUUACCCGCGACAGGACGGAAAGACCCCGUGGAGCUUUACUGUAGCCUGAUAUUGAAAUUCGGUACAGUUUGUACAGGAUAGGUAGGAGCCUUAGAAGCGUGAGCGCUAGCUUACGUGGAGGCAUUGGUGGGAUACUACCCUAAUUGUAUUGGAUUUCUAACCCGCAGCACUUAUCGUGCUGGGAGACAGUGUCAGGCGGGCAGUUUGACUGGGGCGGUCGCCUCCUAAAGAGUAACGGAGGCGCUCAAAGGUUCCCUCAGAAUGGUUGGAAAUCAUUCAUAGAGUGUAAAGGCAUAAGGGAGCUUGACUGCGAGACCUACAAGUCGAGCAGGGUCGAAAGACGGACUUAGUGAUCCGGUGGUUCCGCAUGGAAGGGCCAUCGCUCAACGGAUAAAAGCUACCCCGGGGAUAACAGGCUUAUCUCCCCCAAGAGUUCACAUCGACGGGGAGGUUUGGCACCUCGAUGUCGGCUCAUCGCAUCCUGGGGCUGUAGUCGGUCCCAAGGGUUGGGCUGUUCGCCCAUUAAAGCGGUACGCGAGCUGGGUUCAGAACGUCGUGAGACAGUUCGGUCCCUAUCCGUCGUGGGCGUAGGAAAUUUGAGAGGAGCUGUCCUUAGUACGAGAGGACCGGGAUGGACAUACCUCUGGUGUACCAGUUGUCGUGCCAACGGCAUAGCUGGGUAGCUAUGUAUGGACGGGAUAAGUGCUGAAAGCAUCUAAGCAUGAAGCCCCCCUCGAGAUGAGAUUUCCCAACUUCGGUUAUAAG